CCAGACUCCUACGGGAGGCAGCAGUGGGGGAUAUUGCACAAUGGGGGGAACCCUGAUGCAGCGACGCCGCGUGGGUGAAGAAGCGCCUCGGCGCGUAAAGCCCUGUCAGCAGGGAAGAAAAUGACGGUACCUGAAGAAGAAGCCCCGGCUAACUACGUGCCAGCAGCCGCGGUAAUACGUAGGGGGCAAGCGUUAUCCGGAUUUACUGGGCGUAAAGGGUGCGUAGGCGGUCUUUCAAGUCAGGAGUGAAAGGCUACGGCUCAACCGUAGUAAGCUCUUGAAACUGGGAGACUUGAGUGCAGGAGAGGAGAGUGGAAUUCCUAGUGUAGCGGUGAAAUGCGUAGAUAUUAGGAGGAACACCAGUUGCGAAGGCGGCUCUCUGGACUGUAACUGACGCUGAGGCACGAAAGCGUGGGGAGCAAACAGGAUUAGAUACCCGAGUAGG
rnacentral:rRNA from 1 species